GACAGAGGGUGCGAACGUUGUUCGGAAUUACUGGGCGUAAAGCGCAUGUAGGCGGCAGCGCAAGUCGGGCGUGAAAUCCCACGGCUCAACCGUGGAAGUGCACUCGAAACUGCGCAGCUAGAGUACUGGAGAGGUUGGUGGAAUUCUCGGUGUAGAGGUGAAAUUCGUAGAUAUCGAGAGGAACACCGGUGGCGAAGGCGGCCAACUGGACAGAUACUGACGCUGAGACUCGAAAGCGUGGGGAGCAAACAGG
rnacentral:rRNA from 1 species